rnacentral:rRNA from 1 species
UGGGGAAUAUUGCACAAUGGGCGCAAGCCUGAUGCAGCCAUGCCGCGUGUAUGAAGAAGGCCUUCGGGUUGUAAAGUACUUUCAGCGGGGAGGAAGGGAGUAAGGUUAAUAACUUUGCCCAUUGACGUUACCGGCAGAAGAAGCACCGGCUAACUCCGUGCCAGCAGCCGCGGUAAUACGGAGGGUGCAAGCGUUAAUCGGAAUUACUGGGCGUAAAGCGCACGCAGGCGGUUGAUUGAGUCAGAUGUGAAAUCCCCGGGCUUAACCCGGGAAUUGCAUCUGAUACUGGACAGGUGGAGUCUCGUAGAGGGGGGUAGAAUUCCAUGUGUAGCGGUGAAAUGCGUAGAGAUUUGGAGGAAUACCGGUGGCGAAGGCGGCCCCCUGGACGAAGACUGACGCUCAGGUGCGAAAGCGUGGGGAGCAAACAGG